GCAGGUCACCAGGAGGUUGAAGGAUGAGAGGCUCCAGGCUGAGUAUGGCGAGACAUGAGGGAACCAAACUCACAGGAGGCGGUUUGAGGCAAAGGAAGCAAAGCAACACUCGAGCCUCUGUAAGUGAUCUGGCUUCAGCCAUCAUGUGGUCCUAGCUCAGCAGGACAGCAACCACAGCUG